CAUCUACCGGUUGGGAAAGGUGCAACUGCACCGCAGAUGGAGGAGCCCGCGGCGCAUUAGCUAGUUGGUGGGGUAACGGCCUACCAAGGCGACGAUGCGUAGCCGACCUGAGAGGGUGGACGGCCACACUGGGACUGAGACACGGCCCAGACUCCUACGGGAGGCAGCAGUAGGGAAUCUUCCGCAAUGGGCGCAAGCCUGACGGAGCAACGCCGCGUGAGCGAAGAAGGCCUUCGGGUUGUAAAGCUCAGUCACUCGGGAAGAGCGGACGAGGGAGUGGAAAGCCCUUGUCGAGACGGUACCGAGAGAGGAAGCCCCGGCUAACUACGUG
rnacentral:rRNA from 1 species